GGCCCGCGGGUCACCGCCGCGGCGGGGCAAGAAGCGCGGUCCCCCGGCCGACCUGACCUCCGCCGAUAGUAAGGCACCGGAAGAUGAAACUGGUCUCAGCAAAGGAAGCCGCAAGCGCAAAGUAGGCAAGGAAGAUAUAGUUCGCAUACAGAAGGACGACGACCCCGACACCAACGGCGAUGAGUCGCCUACCCCGGGUCGGGACUCGUCCAAGCCAGACGCGGAAUGAGCCCUCCGCGAGCCAGGCGGUCCGCCACGCCGCGGACCGUGCGUGUCUACCGACACCUGUCGGCCGCGCCGUCAACCAGAACUUACCAGAACUGUGUACAAAUAGAUGACGCACCUGUCGGCCCGGCGGCGGCUCUGUGAUAGUGUGCGGCGACGAGUGAGCAGGGCGGCA